rnacentral:rRNA from 1 species
GAUGAACGCUGGCGGUAUGCUUAACACAUGCAAGUCGAACGGACUCUUCGGAGUUUGUGGCGGACGGGUGAGUAAGGCGUGAGAAUCUGGCUUUGGGUUCGGGACAACCACUGGAAACGGUGGCUAAUACCGGAUGUGCUGAGAGGUAAUAGGGAAAUUGCCUGCAGAUGAGCUCGCGUCUGAUUACCUAGUUGGUGAGGUAAAGGCUCACCAAGGCAGCGAUCAGUAGCUGGUCGGAGAGGAUGACCAGCCACACUGGGACUGAGACACGGCCCAGACUCCUACGGGAGGCAGCAGGGGGUAAUUUUCCGCAAUGGGCGAAAGCCUGACGGGGCAAUACGGCGUGAGGGAAGAAGUCUCUUGGGUUAUAGAGCGCUUUUCUUGGGGGAGAACAAAGUGACGGUACCUAAGGAAUCAGCAUCGGCUAACUCCGUG